UACGGAGGGGGCUAGCGUUGUUCGGAAUUACUGGGCGUAAAGCGCGCGUAGGCGGACCUGCAAGUCGGGGGUGAAAGCCCAGAGCUCAACUCUGGAACUGCCUUUGAAACUAGAGGACUUGGGUACGGGAGAGGUGAGUGGAAUUCCGAGUGUAGAGGUGAAAUUCGUAGAUAUUCGGAAGAACACCAGUGGCGAAGGCGGCUCACUGGCCCGUUACCGACGCUCAGGCGCGACAGCGUGGGGAGCAAACAGG
rnacentral:rRNA from 1 species